rnacentral:rRNA from 1 species
UAGUGAAAUACAAAUCGGACUAGGAUAUAGCUGGUUUUCUGCGAAAAUUGUUUUGGCAAAUUGUUUAUUCCUCUUAAAAAUAGUAGGUAUAGCACUGAAUAUCUCGAGGGAGUAUGAAAAUAUUUAUCUCAGAUAUUUAAUCUCAAAAUAACUAUUUCUUAAAAUAAAUAAUCAGACUAUGUGCGAUAAGGUAGAUAGUCGAAAGGGAAACAGCCCAGAACAGUAAUUAAAGCUCCCCAAUUAAUAUUAAGUGAAAUA